CUCUCUCUCUCUCUCUUUCUUUUAGAGGCAGAAGUUAGAGGGAAGGCGGAGUUUGACAGAUGAACAGAGAGAAGGAGAGAGAGAGAGAG